CAGUCGAGGAAAGCUCUCUCGAGAGAGGGAGCGCCACACGAGGAGCCUGCGCCCGAUUAGCUAGCUGGUGGAGUAAUGGUUCACCAGGGCGACGAUCGGUAGCUGGUCUGAGAGGACGAUCAGCCACACUGGGAUUGAGAACGGCCCAGACUCCUACGGGGGGCAGCAGUGAGGAAUUUUCGUCAAUGGGGGCAACCCUGAACGAGCAACGCCGCGUGCAGGAAGAAGGUUUUCGGAUCGUAAACUGCUUUUCUCGGGGAAGAGAACGGACGGUACCCGAGGAAUCAGCCCCGGCUAACUACGUGCCAGCAGCCGCGGUAAUACGUAGGGGGCAAGCGUUGUCCGGAGUUACUGGGCGUAAAGCGCACGCAGGCGGUUCUUUCAGUUCCUGGUGACAGUCGUCGGCUUCACUGACGAAGGAGUGGGAAGACGGGAGAACUUGAGGGCUUCAGAGGGACACGGAAUUCCGGGUGGAGUGGUGAAAUGCGUAGAUAUCCGGAGGAACACCAACAGCGAAGGCAGUGUCCUGGGAAGUCGCUGACGCUCAGGUGCGAAAGCCAGGGGAGCGAACGGGAUUAGAUACCCCGGUAGUCCUGGCCGUAAACGAUGACCACUAGGCGUGGGAGGUAUCGACCCCUUCCGUGCCGGAGCAAACGCGGUAAGUGGUCCGCCUGGGGAGUACGGUCGCAAGAUUAAAACUCAAAGGAAUUGACGGGGACCCGCACAAGCAGCGGAGCGUGUGGUUUAAUUCGAUGCAACGCGAAGAACCUUACCAGGGUUUGACAUGGAGCCGCACCGCCCGUAACGGGGCGUGCCCGCAAGGGACGGUUCCACAGGUGCUGCAUGGCUGUCGUCAGCUCGUGUCGUGAGAUG
rnacentral:rRNA from 1 species